UUACCGUUAAUAAAGCACUAACUCUAUUAAUGAAAACUAAAAUACAUCUUAAAUAAAAUACCAAAUAAAAACAAAAUGAAAUGCAAAUUAAAAGACAAUUUUAAAGUUGAAUUAUAUUUAACAAAAUGUGUAUAUAAAAUACACAUUCAAAAAUAUAUCUCUAAAUUCUAAGGACUAUUAUGACUUUUUACUAUGAUGAAUGAACGCCUCU
rnacentral:lncRNA from 1 species